AUUGAACGCUGGCGGCAUGCCUUACACAUGCAAGUCGAACGGUAACGGGCCUUCGGGUGCCGACGAGUGGCGAACGGGUGAGUAAUGCAUCGGAACGUACCUUUCAGUGGGGGAUAACGUAGCGAAAGUUACGCUAAUACCGCAUAUUCUGUGAGCAGGAAAGCAGGGGAGCGCAAGACCUUGCGCUGAUUGAGCGGCCGAUGUCAGAUUAGCUAGGUGGUGAGGUAAAGGCUCACCAAGGCGACGAUCUGUAGCGGGUCUGAGAGGAUGAUCCGCCACACUGGAACUGAGACACGGUCCAGACUCCUACGGGAGGCAGCAGUGGGGAAUUUUGGACAAUGGGGGCAACCCUGAUCCAGCCAUGCCGCGUGAGUGAAGAAGGCCUUCGGGUUGUAAAGCUCUUUCGGUCGGGAAGAAAUCGCAUGGGUUAAUACCCUGUGCGGAUGACGGUACCGGCAUAAGAAGCACCGGCUAACUACGUGCCAGCCGCCGCGGUAACAC
rnacentral:rRNA from 1 species